rnacentral:rRNA from 1 species
AACGAACGCUGGCGGCAUGCCUAACACAUGCAAGUCGAACGAAGCCUUCGGGCUUAGUGGCGCACGGGUGCGUAACGCGUGGGAAUCUGCCCUUGGGUUCGGAAUAACAGUUAGAAAUGACUGCUAAUACCGGAUGAUGUCUUCGGACCAAAGAUUUAUCGCCUAAGGAUGAGCCCGCGUAGGAUUAGGUAGUUGGUGGGGUAAUGGCCCACCAAGCCGACGAUCCUUAGCUGGUCUGAGAGGAUGACCAGCCACACUGGGACUGAGACACGGCCCAGACUCCUACGGGAGGCAGCAGUGGGGAAUAUUGGACAAUGGGCGAAAGCCUGAUCCAGCAAUGCCGCGUGAGUGAUGAAGGCCUUAGGGUUGUAAAGCUCUUUUACCAGGGAUGAUAAUGACAGUACCUGGAGAAUAAGCUCCGGCUAACUCCGUGCCAGCCGCCGCGGUAA